UACAGAGGUCUCAAGCGUUGUUCGGAUUCAUUGGGCGUAAAGGGUGCGUAGGCGGCGCGGUAAGUCGGGUGUGAAAUCUUGGAGCUUAACUCCGAAACUGCAUUCGAUACUGCCGUGCUUGAGGACUGGAGAGGAGACUGGAAUUUACGGUGUAGCGGUGAAAUGCGUAGAUAUCGAGAGGAACACCGGUGGCGAAGGCGAGUCCCUGGACAACACCUGACACUGAGGCACGAAAGCUAGGGGAGCAAACAGG
rnacentral:rRNA from 1 species